rnacentral:lncRNA from 1 species
UCGUCAUCGCCGGCUGCGCUGGUAUGUUGUUCUCUUUUCCCUGCUCCGCCGCGUAGGCCACUCCAGCACCACGGGAUACGAGUAUGGCGUUGCCAUGGCUGGGUUGAGGAUGAUCAGUUCAUCCCCAACGCGUCGCUGUGUGUCCAUCCGAUGAACAAGAGAGCUGUCAACAGAAGAAGCACGACUCAUGUACCUUCAGGCUCUUCUCUUCUUGGUUCAAGAUCUUCAGAAACUUUAUUUAUUUUUAGGUGCUCACUGUACCUUCAUGCUCUUUGACAGAACCUCUUUGCAAGGAAGUGUGCGAGUAGUGAGAAAUUUUAAAUCAGUGAGCAAAAUUUCUCAUAUGUACUCACUGUAAGUGUUCACUACAUCUUUAACUGUUCAUAGAAAGGUGGUUAGAUCUGGCAUAAAUAGUAUUCAUUGCAAGAUUACAUGAAGUACUAAUAUUCCAAUAUGCCACAUUUCUUGCUUAAUGGUGCCCACUAAUAGGAAAUAAAGAGUAAUGUAUGUAGUAUUACUUGGUAGUGGUUUACUCUGCUUUUCCAGGAAAAUAGUGUUAUCUAUGUAUGUAUGUAUGUAUGUAUGUAUGUAUGUAUGUAUGUAUGUAUUACUUGGUAGUGGUUUACUCUGCUUUUCCAGGUUGCAAAAAGGCAAUACUUGUCUGUGCUACUUGCAGUUUACUCCGCUCAUUCUACGGGUACUAAUAGGACCCAUUAGUACAUUCAGGUGGAUGGCAAGAGGACUAGAGGAUGCCUCAGGCGAGGGUGUCCAGCAAGCACUGUUAAAGAUAUUCGAAGGAACUGUAAUUGCCCAUGCUGUUUAGAAGAGUGGGAGUUUUACAGUGUGCAGACGUGACUAAUCUGACAUAUUUUUCUGCUUCAUAGAUUCUGAACUCGCAUGUAUCAUAUUAUGUCUGUUUGUUUCUAAACAAGAACAAUUUCACAUUUGCAUUGUUAGGUGAUCAGUGUGCCAAGAAAAGAAGUCGAGAUAUCAUAUCCCAUGGUUAAUGUCGAGGUAAUUGUUUUUAGAACUUCUGAUUAGCACUGGCUGCUGAAACCUGCUACAUAGCCGUAGAUCAGUAACCUUUCAGCAGUCUAGUACCAAAAGUUCCAAAUUAUUUCAUGGUGCUAUGACUUUCAGUCUUCAUUCUAUAUGUGUUGAGGGACACAGGCAACUGAACAUCAAAGAUUGAUGCCCUUGUUUCACAAGCAGUUGGCCCUAGGUACUAAAUAUAUAUAUACUUUAAAUUUGUAAUAAACACCUUCCAUUACAAUGAUGAGUGGUGCAUACGCAAGCACUCUAUUGUUAGAUGCAUAUUAAUUUGUUUUUCCAGGUUGAUAUAAAAGUAUACUCUUAAUUUGUAGAUGCGCCUUCUCUGACGUGGGGAAGAUUUAUGUCAGAAACUUGCAUAGACAGAUCAUUGAUGGGUGCAUAUUAUUAUUGUACACACAAGCAACCUUAGUUGAAUAGUUCAUUGAUGGGUGGGGAGGGCAGGUCUGCAAGGUGUUGGGAAACCCUUUUCUUGAUGUGAACAAUAUGGUAUGGUAUUGUUCUUAAUUGUCAAUCAAUCCAGGAUUCAACCUUGUUUGCAAAUUCAAGUGUUUGGUUUGAACGAUGACACAAAUCCCAUGCAAGGAACAUGUUAAUAUAGUUUUGUGCAACAUAUAUUUUUCAUCAUAGCAAUGGAAAACUGACUCGUGUGCAAGUGCCCUUCUAAUUGGUGCUCUAUGUAUGUUCUCAUUUGGUUCAGGUUGAUUUUUGUGUAUUCCAAGUUCUACAACUAUCAAGUCCGUUAGAUUUUGGGGGUCUGUAAAUUUAUUUUGUUGCCCACUUGAUGAUUAUUUGAAACCUUUUGGUUGCCUAGUGUGGAUGAGAGAAGCAUGUAUGCCUGUAAUUCAUGAUAUUUAGCUGAUUUUAAAACUCUGUACGUGUACAGUGUACACUCAUGUAAUAGUUAUUUGUCUCUCAUCAUCGACUCCUUGAAAAAUGAUCAUCCGCUUGAAGUAACUAUUGUGACAAGUAUGGUAUGUACCAAGAUGUUUGUUUUCAUGCAAAUGCCAUAAUUGGAGCGAUGCACUUUGGUUAUACCUAUAUAAUGCCUUGAAUGCCACACAUUCAAGCUGUGCUGUUAUCAAUUGCAUGAGCCAUUGCUCACUAUUUUUCCACAUACCUAUGAGAGUUUAAUUCAGAAAGGGAAGAAGCCGGGUUACCUUCAAUUGUUGGGUACAUAGACAUUCAGUGCUAUCUGGCAUGUGAGUUUUAUUUUCCCUCUCCUCCUGUAUAAUUAAUAAUUUCUGUUCACUGUAUAUGAGACUUGUCCGCAAGUGCUAUUCAAUCCAUGGUUGCUAGCAGAUAUCGUGUGGUGAUUCAGGUUGGAUGUGUACUGAUGUUUGAAAAUAAAUCCUGAAUGUUGUAACUGGUGCUUGUAAUGGUAUUUCGUUUUCGUACUAUGCAAGCCUCAGGAUGCUAAUCAAAAUAACCUUCAUGCCAAUUGAAAUACAGGUCGAUGGAG